rnacentral:lncRNA from 1 species
UUUUAAUAAUAUUCUCACACAAAAAUCACCGAAAAUAGGGUAGGAAUGGGAAGCCCCCCUCUGCCCCUGGGGCAGAGAGACAGUGCAGUGCGAGGGGGCGGGACUGUAAACCCCCCCACCCCUCCGCAGCCCCAGCGGGGGGGAAAAAAACCGAACUAAGAAAAUGAAAAUAAAGCCCCAGAGAAAAUCACCCCAGGGUGUCCCUGCCCCAGAGAGGCCCUGCCCUGGGAUGUUUCACGCCUUAAAAAAGGUGUGUGUGUGUGUGUGUGUGUGUGUGUCCAAUGUUUUUAAAAUGGCCGAGGCUGGGGAGGACAGGGUUUCUUUUCCUCAUAGUUCUUUAAAACUUUUUAUUUUAUUUAUUUAUUUUUUUUACAAAAUACCAUUUCAGUUCCCACUUCUUCCCCUACAGUACAGGAGUCGCUCACCCUCAGGUGGGGUCGGGGUUGGGUCGGGAGUGGGGGUACUGGUCCAAGAAAGUGCAGGACGUAGGGGAGGGGAGCAGGUUUGAGCACCAUGAGAGCCCGGCUGGAGCCGCGGGCGGGCGGAGACAGACGGGCCAAGCCCGGACAUACUGGGGCGCAGGGAAGGCCCAGGAGUGGGCCUCCCAAAGAGGCAGGAGGGAUGGCUUGGGGAUGUAAGAGGUCGGGUUUUCCCAAAAAAAGAGAAAAAAAAAAUGAAUAAAUAGAGGUGAGUGGGACUGUUAUAAAUUAAAAACCAAAAAACAAAAAGAACAAAAAUACGAAUCAUAACCAAGUGAAUAAACAAGAGACAUAUACAGGGAUCACAGCUAGCAUUGGAAGUAAAAAAAAAAAAAAAAAAAAAAAAAAAAAGGAGGUCCAGGGGUAGGGGUAAAGCCCAUAGAGAGAAUCUCAUUAAAAACCUCGGCUGCCGAACGUCUAUGUACACAACGAGCCGCGAACGUCUGCGCCGGCGGGCGGCGGGCGGGCGCGCGGCGGGCAGGCUUGAGGGAACCCGUAUGUGACCCCCGCCGCCGCCGGAGCCUGGUCCUUGUGUCUGUUGCUAGAAAGGCCAAAGUCGGUGAGGGGAGGCGCUGGUGGGCGAGAGGCUGCCAGCCCCCUCCCCGUCUCCCAUUUUUUUUCCUUUUUUUUUCCUCGUAUUUGUUAAAAAAAAAACAUUUUUUUUUUCUUAAUAAAUUAAGUGAGGGGAGCUGCCAAUAGGGUGGAAGGGCUGGGCCCGACCCCCUUCCCGGCCAGAGGCGGGACCUAGGUCCAGCCCAGGCGUGUGCUGGUGGCCCCGCCGCGCCCAGCGUGGGCGGGCGAGCGGGGCGUCCGGCCUCAUCGAGACGUGCUGGCGGGAGCCUGCGGGGAGAAAGUGGGCAGCUUCAGUGGUGGGCGGAUGGGGACCGGCCGCUCCCGCGCCCCCUCUGGAGCCCAGGCGCUCGCUCUCACCAGUGUGAAGGCAUCGUAGGCCUGCGCCAGCUCCUCCGUGCGGUACUGCUCUAGCACCACCACGCCCUGUAGGCCCGCGCUGCGACGGCGCGCACAGCCCUCGCAGUGCACCAGGCAGGGGGAAGAGCUUGCACACUUACGUCGCAUUCGUUGCAGUAGUAGGCAGGCUCGUCUUUGACACGGCCUUGGUAAGCGAUCUUCUUCCCUGCCCGCACCAGGCUCUCCCGCUGUACCUGACAGUGCUUCAUUGACUGCAGGAGGCAGAACCUGAGCAAGACCCAAAGGGUGGGUGUUGAGACAAGGCUCCAGCGGGGUGCCAAGGCUGGAGGAUGGCAGAUGGGCAGGGGUGGAGCUCCAGAGACCCUAGCCCCACGGACUUCCCUGGGCAACCCUCCCUUUCUUUUCGUUUCUGAGUUGCAUUUCCCGUCUUGAAUAUGUCACACUUGACAUUUCAAGGUUUUGUGUGUGUGUUUGGACCACAGGAAACAACGGCUAUGAGAUGAGAGCAGGGCUUCUGUCAUGUCCCCAGCACAGUGACACUUAAGGUCUUAAGGACAUGCUGCAGACGCAGGGGAAGAAUGGGGAGCCAGGAAGAACAAGGGUGGGGAACAAGCCAGGUGGGACGGGCUGGUAACCAAACAGGGGUCUCACUUGAUCAUCUUGAACAAGUCAGGAUCGCUGAUCUUGACCGUUCGAGCGACGUUCCAGGACACAUGAAUCAUGGGCACAAUGGACUUGACGUUCUUCACCUCGUUCCACUCAUAUCGCUCCAGGGCCAGCUGGUACUGAUAGGCUGUAGGCCAGAGGAAGUCAUGCAGGGGUCUCAACCAGCCCCCGGCCCCUUCUUCCCUCAGACUCUGAUUCUCCAGACCCAGUUUUCCCCUCCAGGGUUCGCUCCUCAUACGUACCCCAUGAUGACCCGACCCCAGCCUCUUACCGGUGAGGGGCCCCACGUUCCAGGCAAUGUUGUUGCACCAGCCGGUAGCCUGCACCCAAUGUACAGUCCCUGCAUUAAUCCACACAAGGUCUCCAGGGCGCUGCACGAAGCGGUAAACAGGAAUAUUGGACGCAUAGAGGUCAUCCAAGAUUGGCCACCAGGAACCAGUCAAGUAGUCCACACCAUGCCUGUGGAGAGGGCAGUCACAGGGUCAGGUGGGAAACCCAAGGACCCGAGGUGAUAGGGUGACUUGCAAGGGGUGAUGCGCACCGGUCGCAGAAGGCGCUGAUGGUCUCCCAAUAGUGCUCAUGUACCGCGAACCACUCGCAGUCCCCAGGGCCAAUGUUGAUGUUGACUGAGCAGAAAUUGUUAUUCUCUUGGUGGCCUGCAGAGGGAGAUAGAACGUCACAGAAGGUCUGAUGCAGGCGAGCAAGGAGCGACAACCACGCCCUUUGCCCUCAUUGGCUAAGGCCUAAGAGUGCGCGCAGCCAGCACAGUACGCAUGCGCAGUGGAAAGCACACCUGGCGUUCGGCUGCCAGGGACCUUCAUGUAUAGCUGCACGGUGUUCAUGCCCAGGAUGGUGUGGCCCACGUGGCUGAGCAUGUUGCCUGUGGAUGUUACCCGCAUGAAGGCGGGCAGUUUCAGCAGCUCCUGUAGCUGUGGCUUCCACCUGUGGACACAGGAAUGCCGACGAAAUUAAGAGGGUGUCCCAGACCAGUACCUAGCAGGGUUGCAUCCCAGUUUCACUGGUCUAGCCUCACUGACCUCUUGGCAUCAGACAGGUCGAUGUUAGUGCCAAACUUGAUGAUGUGAUGGUUCUUGGGGUCCGGUGCACUGCUGCUGGGGCAAAAAUCACAGACAGGUUGAUGGCGAGCCAAGGGAGGAGAGAGAGAGAAGCAGGGAGGGACAAACUUGUACUUCACCUGGGAGAGGUUCCUGUAGUGCUGUCUGGUUCCUCGGAUUCCUCAUCCUCACUCUCCCUCUCCUCCUGCUUGGUCACACAGGCCAGGGCUCUGACGACGUGGACAGAGAUUUGGCAGAAUUCAGCACCAAGGAAUGGGCACGAAUCACAAUCCUAGGAAGCUGACGAGGCUGCCUCCUUCUCAGCCCCUUUCUGCAACUACUUCAUGCCUCAGGUCUCUCGCCUAGAAUUCUUAGGCAUUCAUAUGCCCACAUGCUAGAAAACCAAUGAAUGGCUCAAGUGAAAGAUUUAGUCGAGCUUCGAGUACCUCCCAAAUGACUCCCUGGGAGGAGAGAAUGUCCAGGUAUAAAGGACACGGAAUUGAUUUUUAUGUUUCUUCAUUGUUUCCUCUGGUUUUAUACUGCUUAAAAUUUUGCAUUAAAAAAAGGAAAAAAAAAAAACUAACCAUGGAUGAGAAGUAGUCUAUAAUUCAUUCUAAUUCUCUUUUGUUUGUUUUGUUGUUUUUUACAGACCAGACAGGGUUUCUCUGUAUACCCCUGGCUGUUCUGGAACUCACCAGGCUGGCCU